rnacentral:rRNA from 1 species
UGGGGAAUAUUGGACAAUGGGCGAAAGCCUGAUCCAGCCAUGCCGCGUGUGUGAAGAAGGUCUUCGGAUUGUAAAGCACUUUAAGUUGGGAGGAAGGGCAGUAAGCGAAUACCUUGCUGUUUUGACGUUACCGACAGAAUAAGCACCGGCUAACUCUGUGCCAGCAGCCGCGGUAAUACAGAGGGUGCAAGCGUUAAUCGGAAUUACUGGGCGUAAAGCGCGCGUAGGUGGUUCGUUAAGUUGAAUGUGAAAGCCCCGGGCUCAACCUGGGAACUGCAUCCAAAACUGGCGAGCUAGAGUAGGGCAGAGGGUGGUGGAAUUUCCUGUGUAGCGGUGAAAUGCGUAGAUAUAGGAAGGAACACCAGUGGCGAAGGCGACCACCUGGGCUCAUACUGACACUGAGGUGCGAAAGCGUGGGGAGCAAACAAG